UACGUAGGGUGCGAGCGUUAAUCGGAAUUACUGGGCGUAAAGCGUGCGCAGGCGGUUUUGCAAGCCGGAUGUGAAAUCCCCGGGCUUAACCUGGGAAUGGCAUUUGGGACUGCAAGGCUGGAGUGCGGCAGAGGAGACUGGAAUUCCUGGUGUAGCAGUGAAAUGCGUAGAUAUCAGGAGGAACACCGAUGGCGAAGGCAGGUCUCUGGGCUGACACUGACGCUCAUGCACAAAAGCGUGGGGAGCAAACAGG
rnacentral:rRNA from 1 species